rnacentral:siRNA from 1 species
CAGAUGUUCAGGAGUUUCCCC